GGGGAAUUUUGGACAAUGGGGGCAACCCUGAUCCAGCCAUGCCGCGUGCGGGAAGAAGGCCUUCGGGUUGUAAACCGCUUUUAGUCGGGAAGAAAAGGCCAGGCCUAAUACGUCUGGUUCUUGACGGUACCGGCGGAAUAAGCACCGGCUAACUACGUGCCAGCAGCCGCGGUAAUACGUAGGGUGCGAGCGUUAAUCGGAAUUACUGGGCGUAAAGCGUGCGCAGGCGGUUCGUUAAGUCUGAUGUGAAAGCCCCGGGCUCAACCUGGGAAUGGCAUUGGAAACUGGCGGGCUUGAGUGUGGCAGAGGGGGGUGGAAUUCCGCGUGUAGCAGUGAAAUGCGUAGAGAUGCGGAGGAACACCGAUGGCGAAGGCAGCCCCCUGGGCUAACACUGACGCUCAGGCACGAAAGCGUGGGGAGCAAAC
rnacentral:rRNA from 1 species